rnacentral:RNase_P_RNA from 1 species
CGACGUGGGGAGGUAUUCGCUCGGGGGAAGGUCCCGAGAGGAAAGUCCGGACACCAUAGGACAGAAUUCUCGGUGAAAAUCGAGGCAGCGCGGGUCAAUCCGCGUUGACGGAAAGCGCAACAGAAAGCAUACCGCCCAUGCAAGUGGGUAAGGGUGAAAUGGUGCGGUAAGAGCGCACCGCGGCGGGGGCAAUUCCGCCGGCAGGGCAAGCCCAAUUCGGUGCAAGACAAAAUAGGGGACAGGGUUGUCCGUCCAUAUGUCCCGGGUAUGUCGCAUCUGCUUCGGCAGAAGUGUCUGUGAAGGCACUAGAUAAAUGAAUACCACGGCCUCAAAAGGUGCCGCACAGAAUCCGGCUUAUACCCCACGCUCUUCA